rnacentral:rRNA from 1 species
AGCGAGGAGGAAGGUACCUUAGUUUAAUACCUAGAGAGUAUCGGACGUUACUCGCACAAUAAGCACCGGCUAACUCUGUGCCAGCAGCCGCGGUAAUACAGAGGGUGCAAGCGUUAAUCGGAUUUACUGGGCGUAAAGCGUGCGUAGGCGGCUAAUNUAAGUCGGAUGUGAAAUCCCCGAGCUCAACUAGGGAAUUGCAUUCGAUACUGGUUAGCUAGAGUAUGGGAGAGGAUGGUAGAAUUCCAGGUGUAGCGGUGAAAUGCGUAGAGAUCUGGAGGAAUACCGAUGGCGAAGGCAGCCAUCUGGCCUAAUACUGACGCUGAGGUACGAAAGCAUGGGGAGCAAACAGGAUUAGAUACCCUGGUAGUCCAUGCCGUAAACGAUGUCUACUAGCCGUUGGGGCCUUUGAGGCUUUAGUGGCGCAGCUAACGCGAUAAGUAGACCGCCUGGGGAGUACGGUCGCAAGACUAAAACUCAAAUGAAUUGACGGGGGCCCGCACAAGCGGUGGAGCAUGUGGUUUAAUUCGAUGCNACGCGAAGA